AGUAACACAAUGGCUUUUGUUUAUUAAUAUUGUUUUAUAUAAUAUUAAUUAGUGCCCUGAUGAAAAAAACAGCAACAUAUGCUGGUCUUGCAGCAUAAAUUGUGUUUUGGUGCUGGUCUAUGCUGUUUUGUUUUUUUUCAGCAGGAUGAGGCUUUUAGGAGUGGUGGUUCUGUCAAACUGUAACUGUAUAAAGUAGCAGAAAUUCGAUAUACUCAAGUAAGGUACCUCAAAAUUGUAAACCCUGAAAAAGCCACAUUGACCCCUAAUUGACAAUAUUGAUAAGAAUCCCUUAAAUUUGAUUAGUGGGGAAUUGUGACCAACAUGUGUUGAUUACAGCUGAAAAAUAAAACAUGUCAGACAAAACGGAGGGACACAUUUUCUACACUAGAUUCAGGGGAACAUGAUUAAUUGAAAUAAUUGAAAUCGAAUAUGGCUAAGAAAAGCUCCACUUUUUAAGAAAUAUUUGAAGUGUCUGAAAAAACAGCAUUACAGUUAAGUUAUUUCUUGUUAUUUCUUUGCCUACAUAUGUACAGUUGCAAUCAAAAUUAUUCAACCCCCACUGCAAAUUAAGUUUAUUGGCAAAAUGUACAAAUUAGCAGCUGUUUGCAGUAAAUAAAUCAAACAAGAACACUUUAAAUAGCUCAACACAACUAAUAUCACAAGAGGUUUCUCCAAAUUCAACCCAAGAUGUCACUUUUAAUGACACUGCAGUGUCAAAAUCAUUCAACCCCAUCCUGACAAGCGUCUUCAAUACUUAGUGGAGCACCCUUUUGCUGUCAUGACCUGCUGCAAAUGUGAUGCAUAGCCAGACACCAGCUUCUGCCAGCGUUCCUGAGGAAUCUUAGCCCGUUCCUUUUUGGCAAAGGCCUUCAGAUAACAAAUAUUGUUGGGUUUGCGUGCUGCAACCGCCUUUUAAAAAUCCCACCAGAGAUUUUCCAAUGGGGUUCAAGUCAGGAGACUGUGAUGGCCACUCUAGUGUCUUUGAGGACUUCUUCUGAAACCAAGCCUUGGUGGAUUUUGAGGUUUCCAGUGCCAGAGGAAGCGAAGCAGCCCCAGAGCAUCAGUGAGCCACCGCCAUGUUAUAUUUUUGAGACUACAGUCAUCAUUAAAAGUAGGAUUUAUUGUUGAAUUUGGAUAAAAUCCUUGUAAUAUUAGUUUUAUUUAACCAUUUACACUGUUCUUGUGUGAUCUGUUUAUUGCAAACACCUGAAAAAUGUUACAUUUUACCAAUAAACCUAAAAUGCA